rnacentral:miRNA from 1 species
UGGGGGUGUUCAAGACUUGGGAACC